rnacentral:piRNA from 1 species
UUGUGUCGUUAAACGUAAUCU